CGCGCCGAUUUGGUUCGCUUUCGAUGCAUUGGCGUUUGUUAACCGCGUGAGUCUAGAGCCAAAGCAACAAUUUUGCUUUUCGAACUUUAACCGGUGCGUAUAGCGAUGCAUCGAAUCAGGUGAGGCCUCAUUAGGACUCGGCUCUUGUGUGUUUUGCGUGUUUUGCAGUGAUGAACAACCUUUUUCUGAUCUCUUUCGUGACUCUACCGCGUCAUUUUGAGUGAUUAUUUAACAUUGAGACUUGACAGACGUCAAAUGCGGGUACAAACGUGCGUACGUAAUCUAUGACGCGUGUUCUGUGUGGUACGCACUUACCAAAUGGUUUGGUUUGUACCUUCUGAAUACUUCCUAGAACGUGCGGCAUUUAGGGAAUGACUGACGUGAAGAGGAAGUCUUUAGACAUGUCUGGUGGUACUGAGAGCCACGUACAUCUGAGGACAUUACAUCAUUUGGAGUGUGUAGUUGCCGUGCCAUCGUGGUUAUUUGGUGUGUUCCUGGAUGUACCAAUGUAUCUGCAAAGGGGAAAUAUUUGAAGUUUCACAUGGAAAUUUUUUUGUCACAUGGAUAAACUUUAUUGCCAUUUGAAUGACGUUGACUGGUGGUUGCCAAGGGAUACUCUACAUCGAAGUCUACCACAGUCAUCUAGAGAGACUUUCCCAAAAAAGACCUGCAUCAUUGAUGCAACAGUACUAUUUACAGUCAUUCAGAUAGGGUGUGCAAUCAGCUUUCUUCUUCAGAUACAAACACCACCACACUGUGAAAGCAUUAGUUGCAAUAUCGCCAUGUGGUCAUGUUAUGUUUGUGUCACGACUAUUUACUGGUGCCAUAACGGGGACUUACGAAGCAGUCUGGUUUUCUCAAUAAAUUUGUGCCUGGAGAUCAAGUCAUGGCAAACAAAGGAUUUGUUAUUGCUGACAUUCUCGUGGACGUUGGGCAUCUCUUGUGCUACCUCCUUUUCUAAAAGGAGGAGGUCAGUUUACUGAGGAGCAAGUCAUUAAAUGCUGACAAGUGGCUUCUCUUAGAAUCGCCAUAGAGGGGUGAUCAGACGGAUAACGAACCAUAGCAUUUUGCAAGGUAUAAAUAACACUUAGUUCAAGCAUGGAUCUUUUAUAUAAGGUAUUUACUGUUUGUUCAUAUCUAACAAAUUUGCAUCCACCUCUUGUACCAUAGAUUUAUUUUUUGUACGGUAAAUUAAUAGUAAUUAGUGUCAUUGACAUCAAUUUUAGUUUGUAAAGAUCAAUAUUAUAUUGGCUCUUGCUAUCAUUCUGUA